UGAAACUUAGAAGAACUUAAUGUUCUAUAUGUAAAUCAGCCAUGUUUGAACACGAUGUUCAAACAAAGUCGCCAGUGAGCCAUGGACGGCGAAUUGGCGACGGUGGCGUUCGAUGAGAAAAUGUUAAUUAGAACAUUUAGUUCUUCUUAGUUU
rnacentral:ncRNA from 1 species